GACAGAGGGUGCAAACGUUGUUCGGAAUUACUGGGCGUAAAGCGCGUGUAGGCGGCUUUGAAAGUCGGAUGUGAAAUCCCGCGGCUCAACCGUGGAAGUGCACCCGAAACUCCAUCGCUAGAGUAUCGGAGAGGAAAGUGGAAUGCUUGGUGUAGAGGUGAAAUUCGUAGAUAUCAAGCGGAACACCGGUGGCGAAGGCGGCUUUCUGGACGAUAACUGACGCUGAGACGCGAAAGCGUGGGUAGCAAACAGG
rnacentral:rRNA from 1 species